rnacentral:misc_RNA from 1 species
GAAGCGCGAAAUGUAGUGUGAAUCGCAGAACAUUGUGAAUCAUCGAAUCUUUGAACGCACAUUGCGCCUCCCGUUACAGGGAGGCAUGCCUGUCUGAGCGUCAUUUAAACCAUAAACCUCAACGGGUUUGUCUUGGGCUUCGCCGUCUGUCGGCGUGGCCUCGAAGCGAUCGGUCGAAACAAGCGGACGAGAUCCAUCUGGGACAGACCGUUUGUGCGACCUAAAACCAUCGAGUUGACCUCAGAUCAGGUAGGGUUACCGCCUGAACUUAA